UACCUGCUUCUGUGUGAUAUGUUUGAUAUUGGGUUGUUUAAUUAGAAACCAACUAAAUGUCAAACAUAUUCUUAUAGCAGCAGGCA
rfam:Ictidomys tridecemlineatus contig066485, whole genome shotgun sequence.